rnacentral:rRNA from 1 species
UACAGAGGUCCCAAGCGUUGUUCGGAUUUACUGGGCGUAAAGGGUGCGUAGGUGGCAGGACAAGUCUGGCGUGAAAUCUCCGAGCUCAACUCGGAAAUUGCGUUGGAAACUGUUUUGCUAGAGGAUUGGAGGGGAGACUGGAAUACUUGGUGUAGCAGUGGAAUGCGUAGAUAUCAAGUGGAACACCAGUGGCGAAGGCGAGUCUCUGGACAAUUCCUGACACUGAGGCACGAAAGCUAGGGGAGCAAACGGG